rnacentral:misc_RNA from 1 species
GAUGAAGAACGUAGCGAAAUGCGAUAAGUAGUGUGAAUUGCAGAAUUCAGUGAAUCAUCGAAUCUUUGAACGCACAUUGCGCCCCUUGGUAUUCCAUGGGGCAUGCCUGUUCGAGCGUCAUUUGUACCUUCAAGCUCUGCUUGGUGUUGGGUGUUUGUCUCGCCUCUGCGUGUAGACUCGCCUCAAAAUAAUUGGCAGCCGGCGUAUUGAUUUCGGAGCGCAGUACAUCUCGCGCUUUGCACUCAUAACGACGACGUCCAAAAGUACAUUUUUACACUCUUGACCUCGGAUCAGGUAGGGAUACCCGCUGAACUUAAGCAUAUCAAUACGCGGAGGA